GCAUAAUUUACAGGUAAGUGGUGUUGCGUGUGUGUGUGCGUGUGCGUGUGCGUGUGUGUGUGUGUGUGUGUGGUGUGUAUGUGUGUUAAAGGCCCAAUGCAGACAAACAUGCUUUUUCUGUCUUUUAUAGAUAUUUCAACACUAUGAGGUUGGAAUAAUCCUGAGAAAAUGUGUAAACGGUGAUCACUUCCUGAUACUGUAAAAGCUGUUUGAAAAGACCUCCUGAAAUGUCAGUCUGUUUUGGUGGGAAGGAGUGUUGGCCUGCCUGGUGACGUUAGUUAAUAGACCAAUCAGAGAGAGUUCUAAAACCUCUCUGCCAAUAACAGCUAGUUUUCCGUUGUCUCCUCCCCACUCAGACCACACCCAGACAGUCCCAGCUAGAUUCUUGCUUGAGAAAUGUCUCUUUGCUAAGAAGCUAUUUUUAUUUAUUUUUGACCAUUUUAAUGGAAAACAAUCCCAGUAAGCGACUUCAUUGUUACCCAGAAAUGAUUUGAUAAAGAGAUAAAACCAGCUGGACCUUUAAAGAUCACUGGCGAGUCUGUUGGUAGUCUGUUGUUUACCCAGCAUCCCCGGGGGACUACAGGUCUGUUGUUUACCCAGCAUCCCCGGGGGACUACAGGUCUGUUGUUUACCCAGCAUCCCCGGGGGACUACAGGUCUGUUGUUUACCCAGCAUCCCCGGGGGACUACAGGUCUGUUGUUUACCCAGCAUCCCCGGGGGACUACAGGUCUGUUGUUUACCCAGCAUCCCCGGGGGACUACAGGUCUGUUGUUUACCCAGCAUCCCCGGGGGACUACAGGUCUGUUGUUUACCCAGCAUCCCCGGGGGACUACAGGUCUGUUGUUUACCCAGCAUCCCCGGGGGUCUACAGGUCUGUUGUUUACCCAGCAUCCCCGGGGGUCUACAGGUCUGUUGUUUACCCAGCAUCCCCGGGGGUCUACAGGUCUGUUGGUAGUCUGUUGUUUACCCAGCAUCCC